GACGAACGCUGGCGGCGUGCCUAAUACAUGCAAGUUGAGCGAUGAAGAUUGGUGCUUGCACCAAUUUGAAGAGCAGCGAACGGGUGAGUAACGCGUGGGGAAUCUGCCUUUGAGCGGGGGACAACAUUUGGAAACGAAUGCUAAUACCGCAUAACAACUUUAAACAUAAGUUUUAAGUUUGAAAGAUGCAAUUGCAUCACUCAAAGAUGAUCCCGCGUUGUAUUAGCUAGUUGGUGAGGUAAAGGCUCACCAAGGCGAUGAUACAUAGCCGACCUGAGAGGGUGAUCGGCCACAUUGGGACUGAGACACGGCCCAAACUCCUACGGGAGGCAGCAGUAGGGUAUCUUCGGCAAUGGACGAAAGUCUGACCGAGCAACGCCGCGUGAGUGAAGAAGGUUUUCGGAUCGUAAAACUCUGUUGGUAGAGAAGAACGUUGGUGAGAGUGGAAAGCUCAUCAAGUGACGGUAACUACCCAGAAAGGGACGGCUAACUACGUG
rnacentral:rRNA from 1 species